AGGACGAACGCUGGCGGCGUGCUUAACACAUGCAAGUCGAACGAUGAAGCCUUUCGGGGUGGAUUAGUGGCGAACGGGUGAGUAACACGUGGGCAAUCUGCCCUUCACUCUGGGACAAGCCCUGGAAACGGGGUCUAAUACCGGAUAAUACCUUCUCCUGCAUGGGAGGGGGUUAAAAGCUCCGGCGGUGAAGGAUGAGCCCGCGGCCUAUCAGCUAGUUGGUGGGGUGAUGGCCUACCAAGGCGACGACGGGUAGCCGGCCUGAGAGGGCGACCGGCCACACUGGGACUGAGACACGGCCCAGACUCCUACGGGAGGCAGCAGUGGGGAAUAUUGCACAAUGGGCGAAAGCCUGAUGCAGCGACGCCGCGUGAGGGAUGACGGCCUUCGGGUUGUAACCUCUUCAGCAGGGAGAAGCGCAAGUGACGGUACCUGCAGAAGAAGCACCGGCUAACGUACGUGCCAGCAGCCGCGGUAA
rnacentral:rRNA from 1 species